GCUCAGGAUGAACGCUAGCUACAGGCUUAACACAUGCAAGUCGAGGGGUAGCAGGGUAGCAAUACCGCUGACGACCGGCGCACGGGUGAGUAACACGUAUCCAACCUUCCCAUAACUCGGGGAUAGCCUUUCGAAAGAAAGAUUAAUACCCGAUAGUACUUUUUUAGGGCAUCUUAGAAAAGUUAAAGAUUUAUUGGUUAUGGAUGGGGAUGCGUUCCAUUAGAUAGUUGGUGAGGUAACGGCUCACCAAGUCUUCGAUGGAUAGGGGUUCUGAGAGGAAGGUCCCCCACAUUGGUACUGAGACACGGACCAAACUCCUACGGGAGGCAGC
rnacentral:rRNA from 1 species